GACGAACGCUGGCGGCGUGCUUAACACAUGCAAGUCGAACGGAAAGGCCCUGCUUUUGUGGGGUGCUCGAGUGGCGAACGGGUGAGUAACACGCGAGUAACCUGCCCUUGACUUUGGGAUAACUUCAGGAAAAUGGGGCUAAUACCGGAUAGGAGCUCCUGCUGCAUGGUGUGGGUUGGAAAGUUUCGGCGGUUGGGGAUGGACUCGCGGCUUAUCAGCUUGUUGGUGGGGUUGUGGCUUACCAAGGCUUUGACGGGUAGCCGGCCUGAGAGGGUGACCGGCCACAUUGGGACUGAGAUACGGCCCAGACUCCUACGGGAGGCAGCAGUGGGGAAUAUUGCACAAUGGGCGGAAGCCUGAUGCAGCAACGCCGCGUGCGGGAUGACGGCCUUCGGGUUGUAAACCGCUUUCGCCUGUGACGAAGCGUGAGUGACGGUAAUGGGUAAAGAAGCACCGGCUAACUACGUG
rnacentral:rRNA from 1 species